CCAGACUCCUACGGGAGGCAGCAGUGGGGAAUAUUGCACAAUGGGGGAAACCCUGAUGCAGCGACGCCGCGUGAGUGAAGAAGUAUUUCGGUAUGUAAAGCUCUAUCAGCAGGGAAGAAAAUGACGGUACCUGACUAAGAAGCCCCGGCUAACUACGUGCCAGCAGCCGCGGUAAUACGUAGGGGGCAAGCGUUAUCCGGAUUUACUGGGUGUAAAGGGAGCGUAGACGGCAUGGCAAGUCAGAUGUGAAAGCCCGGGGCUCAACCCCGGGACUGCAUUUGAAACUGUCAGGCUGGAGUGUAGGAGAGGUAAGUGGAAUUCCUAGUGUAGCGGUGAAAUGCGUAGAUAUUAGGAGGAACACCGGUGGCGAAGGCGGCCUGCUGGACUGUGACUGACGUUGAGGCCCGAAGGCGUGGGGAGCAAACAGGAUUAGAUACCCCGGUAUC
rnacentral:rRNA from 1 species